ACGGGGGGUGCAAGCGUUGUUCGGAAUUAUUGGGCGUAAAGGGCGUGCAGGCGGCUUAACAAGUCAGAUGUGAAAUCUAUGGGCUUAACCCAGAAAGUGCAUUUGAAACUGUUUGGCUUGAGUAAAGGAGAGGAAAGUGGAAUUCCUGGUGUAGAGGUGAAAUUCGUAGAUAUCAGGAGGAACACCGAUGGCGAAGGCGACUUUCUGGCCCUAUACUGACGCUAAGACGCGAAAGCGUGGGUAGCAAACAG
rnacentral:rRNA from 1 species